CCUACGGGCGGCAGCAGUGAGGAAUAUUGGUCAAUGGGCGCGAGCCUGAACCAGCCAAGUAGCGUGAAGGAUGACUGCCCUACGGGUUGUAAACUUCUUUUAUAAAGGAAUAAAGUGAGGCACGUGUGCCUUUUUGUAUGUACUUUAUGAAUAAGGAUCGGCUAACUCCGUGCCAUCAGCCGCGGUAAUACGGAGGAUCCGAGCGUUAUCCGGAUUUAUUGGGUUUAAAGGUAGCGUAGAUGGGUUGUUAAGUCAGUUGUGAAAGUUUGCGGCUCAACCGUAAAAUUGCAAUUGAUACUGGCAGUCUUGAGUACAGUUGAGGGAGGCGGAAUUCGUGGUGUAGCGGUGAAAUGCGGAGAUAUCACGAAGAACUCCGAUUGCGAAGGCAGCUUACUAAACUGCCACUGACAUUGAUGCUCGAAAGUGUGGGUAUCAAACAGGAUUAGAUACCCCAGUAGUC
rnacentral:rRNA from 1 species